AUUGAACGCUGGCGGCAGGCCUAACACAUGCAAGUCGAGCGGAGCGGCGGACGGGUGAGUAAUGCCUAGGAAUCUGCCUGGUAGUGGGGGAUAACUUCCGGAAAGGGGCGCUAAUACCGCAUACUAUUUGAUGACCCUAGGUCGGAGUAGCUAGUUGGUGGGGUAACGGCUUACAAAGGCGACGAUCCGUAACUGGGCUGAGAGGAGGAGCAGACAAACUGGAACUGAGACACGGUCCAGACUCCUACGGGAGGCAGCAGUGGGGAAGGUUGGACAAUGGGCGAAAGCCUGAUCCAGCAAUGCCGCGGGGGUGAUGAAGGUCUUCGGAUUGUAAAGCACUUUUAGUAGGGAAGCGGUACCUACAGAAUAAGCACCGGCUAACUACGUGCCAGCAGCCGCGGUAAUUC
rnacentral:rRNA from 1 species